GCCAGUGUGGCGUAGUGGUUUGAGUGCUGGACUGUGACUCUGGAGACCAGGGUUCGAAUCCCAACUUGGCCA
rnacentral:tRNA from 1 species